CUUACUAAGUAACUUAGCUAUAAAACAGCAUUUUGGUUGUUAAUUAAUAUAUAUUUAUUGUAUAUUUGGUUCUGAAGCCCAUAACUGAUUGAUUUAACGUAUCCUUGUUUUGGGCAGCUUCUGGGAUGUUUCCAAGAUAUUUGCGGAUUUGGGCAAUAAGUUUUAUUAUUUAAAAAAUUCAUUU